AUCCUUUUCUGGUUCAUAAGCAUGAUGAUUGGGUUCUCACACACUUGUGUGUGAUAUCUGCCUCUUUCAAAUCUUGUUACAAUGUGGAUAUAUUAUCUGUCUGAUG